AUGGGGAACUGCGCGCCAUCGCGGCACGCCGGGGAGUCGUGGGCCGACGACGGCGAGUGGGAGGAGGCGUCGUCCACGUCCGAGGACGGCGACCACCACCACGCAUCGGAGGUGACGAUCAGGAUCACCAAGAGGCAGCUGCACGAGCUCAUGGAGAGGAAGACGCCCGGCGGCCGGGGUAGCAGCACCCGGCAGCUGCUGGCGGACAUCAUGGACUCCGGGGAGGUGCACCACCAUGACGUGCACCGGGAGGAGCACUGGAGGCCCGCGCUGCAGAGCAUUCCGGAGGCCGUCGAGUCGUGA
rnacentral:rRNA from 1 species